UACGUAGGCAGCGAGCGUUGUUCGGAGUUACUGGGCGUAAAGGGUGUGUAGGCGGUUGUUUAAGUUUGGUGUGAAAUCUCCCGGCUCAACUGGGAGGGUGCGCCGAAUACUGAAUGACUAGAGUGCGGGAGAGGUGAGUGGAAUUCCUGGUGUAGCGGUGAAAUGCGUAGAUAUCUGGAGGAACACCGGUGGUGUAAACGGCUUUCUGGACCAUAACUGACGCUGAGGCACGAAAGCGUGGGUAGCAAACAGG
rnacentral:rRNA from 1 species